UACAGGGGGGCAAGCGUUGUUCGGAAUUACUGGGCGUAAAGGGCUCGUAGGCGGCCAACUAAGUCACACGUGAAAUCCCCAGGCUUAACCUGGGAACUGCGUGUGAUACUGGAUGGCUUGAAUUCGGGAGAGGGAUGCAGAAUUCCAGGUGUAGCGGUGAAAUGCGUAGAUAUCGGGAGGAACACCUGUGGCGAAGGCGACCCCCUGGUUGGAUACUGACGCUGAGACGCGAAAGCGUGGGGAGCAAACAGG
rnacentral:rRNA from 1 species